rnacentral:rRNA from 1 species
AUUGAACGCUGGCGGCAGGCCUAACACAUGCAAGUCGAACGGUAACAGGAAGAAGCUUGCUUCUUUGCUGACGAGUGGCGGACGGGUGAGUAAUGUCUGGGAAACUGCCUGAUGGAGGGGGAUAACUACUGGAAACGGUAGCUAAUACCGCAUAACGUCGCAAGACCAAAGAGGGGGACCUUCGGGCCUCUUGCCAUCGGAUGUGCCCAGAUGGGAUUAGCUAGUAGGUGGGGUAACGGCUCACCUAGGCGACGAUCCCUAGCUGGUCUGAGAGGAUGACCAGCCACACUGGAACUGAGACACGGUCCAGACUCCUACGGGAGGCAGCAGUGGGGAAUAUUGCACAAUGGGCGCAAGCCUGAUGCAGCCAUGCCGCGUGUAUGAAGAAGGCCUUCGGGUUGUAAAGUACUUUCAGCGGGGAGGAAGGGAGUAAAGUUAAUACCUUGGCUCAUUGACGUUACCCGCAAAAGAAGCACCGGCUAACUCCGUG